AGAGUUUGAUCCUGGCUCAGAGCGAACGCUGGCGGCAGGCCUAACACAUGCAAGUCGAACGAACUCUUCGGAGUUAGUGGCGGACGGGUGAGUAACACGUGGGAACGUGCCUUUAGGUUCGGAAUAACUCAGGGAAACUUGUGCUAAUACCGAAUGUGCCCUUCGGGGGAAAGAUUUAUCGCCUUUAGAGCGGCCCGCGUCUGAUUAGCUAGUUGGUGAGGUAAAGGCUCACCAAGGCGACGAUCAGUAGCUGGUCUGAGAGGAUGAUCAGCCACAUUGGGACUGAGACACGGCCCAAACUCCUACGGGAGGCAGCAGUGGGGAAUCUUGCGCAAUGGGCGAAAGCCUGACGCAGCCAUGCCGCGUGAAUGAUGAAGGUCUUAGGAUUGUACAAUUCUUUCACCGGGGACGAUAAUGACGGUACCCGGAGAAGAAGCCCCGGCUAACUUCGUGCCAGCAGCCGCGGUAAU
rnacentral:rRNA from 1 species